AACUGCCUGAUGGAGGGGGAUAACUACUGGAAACGGUAGCUAAUACCGCAUAACGUCGCAAGACCAAAGAGGGGGACCUUCGGGCCUCUUGCCAUCGGAUGUGCCCAGAUGGGAUUAGCUAGUAGGUGGGGUAACGGCUCACCUAGGCGACGAUCCCUAGCUGGUCUGAGAGGAUGACCAGCCACACUGGAACUGAGACACGGUCCAGACUCCUACGGGAGGCAGCAGUGGGGAAUAUUGCACAAUGGGCGCAAGCCUGAUGCAGCCAUGCCGCGUGUAUGAAGAAGGCCUUCGGGUUGUAAAGUACUUUCAGCGGGGAGGAAGGGAGUAAAGUUAAUACCUUUGCUCAUUGACGUUACCCGCAGAAGAAGCACCGGCUAACUCCGUGCCAGCAGCCGCGGUAAUACGGAGGGUGCAAGCGUUAAUCGGAAUUACUGGGCGUAAAGCGCACGCAGGCGGUUUGUUAAGUCAGAUGUGAAAUCCCCCGGG
rnacentral:rRNA from 1 species